rnacentral:misc_RNA from 1 species
UCUCCGUAGGUGAACCUGCGGAGGGAUCAUUACUGAGUGAGGGCUCACGCCCGACCUCCAACCCCAUGUGAACCGCAACUGUUGCUUCGGGGGCGACCCUGCCGUUUCGACGGCGAGCGCCCCCGGAGGCCAUUAAACACUGCAUCAUUGCGUCGGAGUUAAAGUAAAUUAAACAAAACUUUCAACAACGGAUCUCUUGGUUCCAGCAUCGAUGAAGAACGCAGC